AGCGAACGCUGGCGGCAGGCCUAACACAUGCAAGUCGAACGGAUCCUUCGGGAUUAGUGGCGGACGGGUGAGUAACACGUGGGAACGUGCCCUUUGGUUCGGAACAACUCAGGGAAACUUGAGCUAAUACCGGAUGCGCCCUUCGGGGGAAAGAUUUGAUCGCCAUUGGAGCGGCCCGCGUCUGAUUAGCUAGUUGGUGAGGUAAAGGCUCACCAAGGCGACGAUCAGUAGCUGGUCUGAGAGGAUGAUCAGCCACAUUGGGACUGAGACACGGCCCAAACUCCUACGGGAGGCAGCAGUGGGGAAUCUUGCGCAAUGGGCGAAAGCCUGACGCAGCCAUGCCGCGUGAAUGAUGAAGGUCUUAGGAUUGUAAAAUUCUUUCACCGGGGACGAUAAUGACGGUACCCGGAGAAGAAGCCCCGGCUAACUUCGUGCCAGCCGCCGCGGUAACAC
rnacentral:rRNA from 1 species